UACGUAGGGUGCAAGCGUUGUCCGGAAUUAUUGGGCGUAAAGAGCUCGUAGGCGGUCUGUCACGUCGGCUGUGAAAACCCGAGGCUCAACCUCGGGCCUGCAGUCGAUACGGGCAAACUAGAGUACUGCAGGGGAGACUGGAAUUCCUGGUGUAGCGGUGAAAUGCGCAGAUAUCAGGAGGAACACCGGUGGCGAAGGCGGGUCUCUGGGCAGUAACUGACGCUCAGGUGCGAAAGCUAGGGGAGCGAACAGG
rnacentral:rRNA from 1 species